AAACGGUGAGAAGACCGGUGCUUUGGGUAUAAAAGCAGCCGUUAAGAUGGUUGACAACACAGACUGAUUUCAGUUAGUCCAACAGUGCAAGAUUCAUGAUGCAGGCCCUGAAAGCCCUUAUCUUCCUCGCCCUUGUGGCUUGCACCCUGGCCGUGUACACCGGACUUCCAGCCGUUGCCAGCUACGGCGUUCCCGCCGUUGCAAGCUAUGGCGUUCCAGCUGUGGCCAGCUACGGCGUCCAUGCACCACUCACCGCUAGCUACGGUGUGGGCCACGCUGUCCCAGCCUACGGCUACGGUCUUGGUCUAGGCUAUGGCCUUGGCGGCUACAAUUACCCCUACGCUGGAGCAUACCACCUCAAGAAGUGAACAGAUUCUGGCUGAAGUGAACUCUCCAAGCUGACGACCCGACCUCGCCUCCUGGUUUAAGAUUGAAGACUACGGAUAUAUUAGCAUCAUUAUCACGUGAUUUUGAUAGUACAUUACUCGAAUAAAACGCACGGUAUUUUCAAAUA